rnacentral:rRNA from 1 species
UACAGAGGGUGCGAGCGUUAAUCGGAAUUACUGGGCGUAAAGCGCGCGUAGGCGGCUUUGCAAGUCGGGUGUGAAAUCCCCAGGCUUAACCUGGGAACUGCAUUCGAGACUGCAUUGCUAGAGUAUGGGAGAGGGAAGUGGAAUUUCCGGUGUAGCGGUGAAAUGCGUAGAUAUCGGAAGGAACACCUAUGGCGAAGGCAGCUCUCUGGGACGGUACUGACGCUGAGACGCGAAAGCGUGGGGAGCGAACAGG